rnacentral:sRNA from 1 species
GACUUCUUCUUCCUCUUCUUCUUCGACCUCU